UCAUUUCCAAUUCCUGUCCCCGCCGCAGGAGCUGCUGGAGCUGCAGGCACAGGAGCACAUGGCAGCCACCCGCGCCCACCGGGAGCAGCACCGGGCAGAGCUGGAGGGCCGUGUUGGGGAGCUGCGGGCGUUGCUGGGGGAUGCAGAGCGGCAGCGGGAGCUGCAGGAGGCCGAGGGCCGGGCGCUGCGCCAGGAACUGAAAGACGUCCGGGACGGGCAGCGCAUCCUGGAGAAGAAGGGCAGCGCGGCGGUGAGCCCCAAGGCUGGG